ensembl:lncRNA
CUGGGCUUCAGACUUCAUCCAAUCGGGGAUGAUGCUCAUUCGCUAUUAUAGUCUAAAAACAUUGCAUCAAGCAAAUGAGGUGCUGAACUCAUGGUUGAUCCCACGUGCUUUUAUCUCGCCCAUAUUACUCUAUUAGGCCGGUAAUAGGAACCAGAGCUAGUAAAGACUCAAGUGCGGAGAGCAGCAUCUAGGAAUCUCUCCACUUGGGUGUAAAUUACAGAGCUGCCUGGGGUGUUCUCUACCCUCUCUCACUGGCACCUUUCCCUGUUUCAUCUACACACACACACACACACACACACACACACACACACACAUGCACACGUACGAGACAAUGACUAUUACCCGACACACCUGGGUUCUGGGCCCCACAAUCUUCUUAAUAUCUUUUAAAUCUUCACAUAAGGUAUGCCUUCCAUAGGGCUUACAGUACCAUUUGCUCUAAUAAACUCUUUUGGCAGAGGUGCAUGCAAGCUGCUUCCGUGGCCCCCGGAGAGAGGAACGUAAGGCGGAGGGUGAGGCAUCCCAAAAUAUGAGGAUAAAUCGCAGGUUGCCUGAAGAUGCGGUGAGGGAAAUGCUGGCCGAUGUGUGCAAACGGUCCAGAGCAGGAACAUCACACACACUCCAGCCCCAGGUGACAUCUGCUGGAAUAUUUACAGAGAGAGGCGACGUUCAGAAUGAAAUACUACUUCCUGCACAGUAA